rnacentral:rRNA from 1 species
GUCCACGCCGUAAACGAUGGGUGCUAGACGUUGGCGAGCUUGCUCGUCAGUGUCGCAGCUAACGCGUUAAGCACCCCGCCUGGGGAGUACGGCCGCAAGGUUGAAACUCAAAGGAAUUGACGGGGCCCGCACAAGCGGUGGAGCAUGUGGUUCAAUUCGACGCAACGCGAAGAACCUUACCAGCCCUUGACUUGUGACUCGCCGGGACCAGAGACGGUCCCUUCGGUUCGGCCGGAGUCAACACAGGUGCUGCAUGGCUGUCGU